UGCCCAAUAACUAGCCCCCCCAAACAACUUCAACCAACCCCUGUUAAUAACCCCUAAGUACCCCCGCAUUCAAAUUAAACAAACCAUUUUCCCCCCUUAGUAUAGGCG
rnacentral:rRNA from 1 species